CCUACGGGUGGCAGCAGUGGGGAAUAUUGCACAAUGGUGGAGACCCUGAUGCAGCAACGCCGCGUGAGUGAAGAAGUAUUUCGGUAUGUAAAGCCCUAUUAGCAGGGAAACAGAUGAUGGUACCCGAUUAAGAAGCCGCGUAUAACUACGUGCCAGCAGGCGCGGUUAUAUGUCAGGGGCCAACGUUAUCCGGAUUUAGUGGGUGUAAAGGGAGCGCAGACGGCAGUGCAAGUCUGGAGUGAAAGCCCGGGGCCCAACCCCGGAACUGCUCUGGAAACUGUGCGGCUAGAGUACUGGAGGGGCAUGCGGAAUUCCUAGUGUAGCGGUGAAAUGCGUAGAUAUUAGGAGGAACACCAGUGGCGAAGGCGGCCUGCUGGACAGUAACUGACGUUGAGGCUCGAAAGCGUGGGGAGCAAACAGGAUUAGAUACCCCAGUAGUC
rnacentral:rRNA from 1 species